rnacentral:rRNA from 1 species
GAUGAACGCUGGCGGCGUGCCUAAUACAUGCAAGUCGAGCGAACAGACGAGGAGCUUGCUCCUCUGACGUUAGCGGCGGACGGGUGAGUAACACGUGGAUAACCUACCUAUAAGACUGGGAUAACUUCGGGAAACCGGAGCUAAUACCGGAUAAUAUAUUGAACCGCAUGGUUCAAUAGUGAAAGACGGUUUUGCUGUCACUUAUAGAUGGAUCCGCGCCGCAUUAGCUAGUUGGUAAGGUAACGGCUCACCAAGGCAACGAUGCGUAGCCGACCUGAGAGGGUGAUCGGCCACACUGGAACUGAGACACGGUCCAGACUCCUACGGGAGGCAGCAGUAGGGAAUCUUCCGCAAUGGGCGAAAGCCUGACGGAGCAACGCCGCGUGAGUGAUGAAGGUCUUCGGAUCGUAAAACUCUGUUAUUAGGGAAGAACAAAUGUGUAAGUAACUAUGCCCGUCUUGACGGUACCUAAUCAGAAAGCCACGGCUAACUACGUG